GUAUGUCAACACAUACAGAUUUCCAUUAUGAGACGGAGGGGAUGGUACAGAAGUGGAAGCCCAGCCACCCACUCACCACGGACUCACUGUUAACAAAGAGCAGCACAGCUGCUCCUGGAGAACUGGAACCAGCCAGCUAUGCACCCAUGACUUCAUUUCUUUCCUGCUAAUGAAGAGGUAGCAGUGAGAUUCAAGCAAGCAUCUGAAUCCCAUCACAACCAUCUCAAGAGUUCCCAUUCUUAUAUCCACACUUAUUUACCCAUACUGGUACCUCAGCAUAGCUGAUGGGGGCCUCUGGAAGCAGACAACCUUGCUAAAUCUUUGAUUACUUGACUACUGCAACUCUUGCCUCAAGUUAGGCCUUCAGAGCCUCUUUUCCAGGCUUGAGCAUGGGGGCUCCUCCAGCCAUGUCUCUAUUAUCUGCUGUUAGAUAUAUCCAAGUCCAAGUCCAAGUCCAACAAAAAUUUCAUCUACUUCAAGCAGUCCAUCAGGCUUUGAGCUCAAAUUCUUUGUCUGGCUUAUCAUAUAUUUUCUUUCAAUGAAAAAUCAAUACAAGACUAACAGGAUGGGUUCAGACCACAUCUUAAUACACAUACAAAAUGUUGGGGCCAACCCAGACCCCUAAUAUUAAUUUUAAUCCAGCUGUGAUAAAAUGGAAUUUGGUAUUAACAAAUUUGGCACCCAUGAAAUUAUCAUUUUUACCCACACUGUCUCAGCUUUCUUUGUGGUUGUGUAACUGCCUGCACUAAAUAUGUAUUCAGUGAUUCUUCUGCCCCUUUGAUUUGAUAUGAAUCUCCUCCUUGGUUUGAAUGAAGGACUACCAAGACAGAUCCAUGAAAAUGUGUCCUACUUACCUAACAAAUAUUUUUUUAUGGAAACUGUUCUCUACUUGGUAAACCCACUCACUCUUUAUGACUGCCCCAGUAAUAAUGCAUCUCACAUUAUGAACAGCAGGUAACUUUUCCUCCAGAGUACUAAGAGAGGUCUUCUCCAGCCAGAAUUCCCACUCCCAUCACCCGUAGCAGGUACAGACUGACCCUGAUGGGACACAGAUCGUACUCCCAUCCCUUUCCUUCCUUGUCUGCCUGCCACCAAGUAUCACAUUCCCUUGGCCGCAGCACCAGCCGUCUCCAGAAGCACCCUGCUCCAUUUGUUAAUUCCAGCUGGGCUCUGCAACACCAUUCCCACCAGCAUGUUUGCAGCCCUUGUGCUGUCCAUUGGUAGUUAGGAUGUCUUUGCUUUCAUUUGUGAUGGGGCUGUGGCCAGCGUAGACCAGAGUGGUCCCUGAACCUUGUUUGCUCUACAUCAAGAGAACUCCACUUAUUUUCUGUCUCUCCCCACUCUUGCAUGUAGCAGGUGAUUGCCCAACUGACUUCCUAGGAAGUCUAUUUUCCUUCAUGAGCCCUCUGGACUAUUCUAAAGCUGAGGGUGCCAUAUCAGGUACAACACUAGUGUUGCAAAAUAUGUACCCUAGCACACUUUCUUUCUUUUCUGGUUCCUCAUUUGAUACAUCAUGGCCUCAAGUGGGCUUCAGACCUCUGGCAUUCUCUUCAACAUUAUUCAUAAGAUUUUAAAUUCCCCUCUGCUAUUU
rnacentral:lncRNA from 1 species